rnacentral:rRNA from 1 species
AUACCCAAAGUCGGUUUGCUAACCUCGGAGGCGACCGCCUAAGGUAGGACUGGUGACUGGGGUGAAGUCGUAACAAGGUAUCCCUACGAGAACGUGGGGAUGGAUCACCUCCUUUCUACGGA